rnacentral:misc_RNA from 1 species
GUAGGUGAACCUGCGGAGGGAUCAUUACUGAGUUAGGGAGCAAUCCCGAACCUCCAACCCUUUGUGAACACAUCUUGUUGCUUCGGGGGCGACCCUGCCGUUUCGACGGCAUUCCCCCCGGAGGUCAUCAAAACACUGCAUUCUUACGUCGGAGUAUAAAGUUAAUUUAAUAAAACUUUCAACAACGGAUCUCUUGGUUCUG